UCUGGCUCAGGAUGAACGCUAGCGGCAGGCUUAACACAUGCAAGUCGAGGGGCAGCGUGGAGUAGCAAUACUCUGACGGCGACCGGCGGAAGGGUGCGUAACACGUGAGCGACUUGCCCGAUACAGGGAGAUAACCGGUGGAAACGCCGACUAAUAUCCCAUACGACUUGAGGCUGCAUGGCCUUGAGUUGAAAGGUUCGCCGGUAUCGGAUAGGCUCGCGGGACAUUAGCUUGAUGGCGGGGCAACGGCCCACCAUGGCGACGAUGUCUAGGGGUUCUGAGAGGAAGACCCCCCACACUGGGACUGAGACACGGCCCAGACUCCUACGGGAGGCAGCAGUGAGGAAUAUUGGUCAAUGGGCGGAAGCCUGAACCAGCCAUGCCGCGUGAAGGACUAAGGCCCUAUGGGUCGCAAACUUCUUUAGACGCAGAGCAAUAAGGGCCUCGCGAGGUCCGAUGAGAGUAUGCGUAGAAUAAGCAUCGGCUAACUCCGUGCCAGCAGCCGCGGUAAUACGGGGGAUGCGAGCGUUAUCCGGAUUUAUUGGGUUUAAAGGGUGCGUAGGCGGCGAAUUAAGUCAGCGGUGAAAGACCGGGGCUCAACCCUGGAAGUGCCGUUGAUACUGAUUGGCUAGAAUACCCUUGCCGUGGGAGGAAUGAGUGGUGUAGCGGUGAAAUGCAUAGAUAUCACUCAGAACACCGAUUGCGAAGGCAUCUCACGAAGGGGCGAUUGACGCUGAGGCACGAAAGCGUGGGGAUCGAACAGGAUUAGAUACCCUGGUAGUCCACGCAGUAAACGAUGAUGGCUAACUGUCGGGCCUGCGGGUUCGGCGGCCAAGCGAAAGCGAUAAGCCAUCCACCUGGGGAGUACGACCGCAAGGUUGCAACUCAAAGGAAUUGACGG
rnacentral:rRNA from 1 species